ensembl:lncRNA
UAAAAAAACCUUUUCUUUAUUAAAAGCCUUUGAAUAAUUUUAUCUGACAGUUUAAUUACUGUAAAGAGGUCUCAUCCACGUUUUCAACAAAUUUUUUAUAAGUGCGUUGUAAGUAAGCUACCCCUUCAUGUUGCCAAGAAGCAAAUUGCUUCAGAUAAACUAAAUACUGUAGUAGUUUAAUAAGGCAUAAGGCACUAAUUUGAAUUACACUCCUAAUACCAGGUGGACAUAUCUAGGAUUUCAUAGGCAUUGAUGUGUUUUUUAUACAUUAACCUGCACAAAUGUAACACAUUUACAGUCAUAAAGCUCAAAUGCUAAUUAUUCAAGCUGUCAUUAAGUAAAGCCCGUUUUGCCCUUACCCCUUUACAGAAAUCCAUUCCCACACUGCACAGGAUGAGGUGACACUUGCUGUUAAACAGAAAAGGCAUUUUGUUUGCAAUGGACAUUUUCAAUUUACUGCUGCCUGAAUUUAAAUUAUACAUAGCACUCUCUCAAAAAUCUUGGUGAGAUUUUAGUUAAUAGUUUCUUUUCCUGCCAGAGACUGAAACCUGACUUGUUUAAUUUUACUCACACUGAGCAAUUAGCUAUGAAGGUAUCAAGGAGUAAGGAAAAAAAAAAGCCAAAGCAACCAAACCAACCAGAAGGAAGAGGCAGAAAAUGAGUUUUUGGCAAUCUUGAGAUUAAAAUUGCUCCACACUUCACCAGUAAACUGAAUUGUCACAUACCUCCUCUGGCCAUCAGGACAAAAAGAGGGAUUUCAGCCUCUAGCUUAUUGAAGAUUGCUGAAAGUAAAUCCAUUUCUGUUGUAAAUUGAUACAAAAGACACUUGCAAAAUGGGUGAAAAUAUAUUAAGUUUUCAACACUAUUGAUGGUAAGUAGCUUGAAAGUGUUUGGCCCCCUUUAGAAACUGAGAAGCAAUUUGAAGACAGUAAAACUUCUAAAGCAAGAUAGUUUUUUAGAGGUGUGUUUAAAUUUAUGACAAUUGGUGAUUUUACUUUGCACACAAUUCAUUAUUUUAAAGCAAGAAAUAAAAGCAUUAGCUACUUCCUACAUAGCAUGGCCUUCUUACUUCCAGAUAUGCAAAAACAAAAUAUUAAAUUGUGCUCAUUGUAAAAUAACUUUUCCAUCUCUAUCAAAAAGACCUCAGGAGAAAUGUUUGUAUUCUGCUUCACCCUGCAUGCAUCAGUGAAGAUUAUUUCUUGUGAAGUGCUACAAAAGAGAAGAGAAAUUUAGCCCAAGGAACCAAUUUUUACAUCUUCACUGAAAAUGUCAUAUAUAGAUAAAUAGUAAAAUUUUAACUAUGCCCAGCAUUCUUGUUUCUCCAUCUAUAAUACUAUGGCAUCUGAAGGGAAAACCAAGUCAGCACCAGACGUGAGCUUCACUGGUAUGUGACCCACAAGGUAACAUAGCUCUGGUAACAGUCAAUUCAUUUAACAAAAAUAUAUAAGAGCAGAAUUUUGACAGCCUGGAGUAGGACUUUUGAUUACUCUGGUGAGCUGGGAAAAAAACAACCCUGAAAAACCAAACCAAGUCCCACCCCCUUUCUAUAGUUUGAAAUAAAACAUGCCUGGACACACACACCUUAAAAUUUGCAUUUCAUGUUGGGUGACUGGUACCACCUGCUCUAACUUUCAGCUGUGUAACUCAGUAUUUAACUGUGCUGCACUUUGCCAAAGUUUCAACUCAGCAGAGCAUUCAUGGAAGGACUGGUCAGAGAGCAAAUGGAAAUAUUUGUCAGCUGAGAACUUUGGGCUAUCAACUCUUCACCAUGUGGUAAGACACAGUAGCUACAGAAGAAACUCAUGCUCAUAUUACUCAUAUAUAUUAUUUUUUAAAGGCUUUGCUAAGAGCACAUGACAGCAGCAGAUCUCACUGAGCAGCAUGUGAUAGAUACAGCAGAGAGGCAGAAAAAAUGCAGCUUUACAUUACAUAAUUAAAAAUCAUGAAACAUUAGGUUCUAGGGUAGCUUGCAGCUUAAUGUUGACAGUGAAGAAUAACUUGAGACUUCUAAUAUGCUCAUUUAUUCUCAUCUCAGCUCUAUAAACACUGUCUUAUCACUUUAAGAAAGACCUUUCCCUCUUAAAUCACAUUACUUCCAUUACUUAGGGAAUUACAAUAUUUGUACAGUUUAUAUAUGUGUAAUACAAUGGGAUUUGCAUAAUAUGAAAGGCAUUAGUGCUUUGAUUAAGAGAACCACCUGCACAACCUCUCAAGUAUUAGUUCCUGGUUAUUCUUUUAACCCAAGCACUUCCAUCUCAUAUGUUAAAGCUCCCAGUGAAACUGCCAAGGUUUAUCUGGGCUACAGUGACCUGAAGUUGGCAACUGUUUAAGGCUCUGUUAAUCCCAAAAAGCCAAUGCAUGAGGACAUGAGAUCAUCUUGAUUCACAGGAGACACCAUGCUCUGCCAAUUCUGCUGCCAGGACAGAAACAUCACAGAUAUGUUGCUGUUGCUGUACAUGCUCCUCAACCAGAUAAGCAGAGGGGGAAGUAAGAGACCAAAAGCUCGUCCUUCCUGAACAUUGCAUGGAGAGCACUGCUGUGUACUUUGAUGACAACAGACACAUCCUUUAAAUCCUAAUACCUUAAAAUCCUGAAUUAAUUUGUUAAUGAGAUAAUGUAUUUUCACACCUGUGGAAAGUCCUCAAACAGUAUUUUUAUUCUGCAAACCCUUAUCUUGGGGAAAACUGGCUUUCACUGCAUCAGCUCUCCUGGUACAGUCUGUGGUGGUAAGGACAGCAAACAGAGCAGCCUCAAUUCUGGAGCUCUCUGAUUGGUACAUAAGGACACCACAACGAAAGGAAACCCUUUCAAUAGUGUUGUGUUUGGGCUCACCGUUUCUGGCAGGCAAUCCAAGGCUAUGCACUUAUGUCAGAGAAGUCCAACACAGACAGUCCUCCUAUUUCAGAGGAAAGAGUGAAUUUUCACUUAGUGCUUACAUUUGGUGCACAGGAAGGGGCUCAAUUAUGCAAAACACUGCUCAUCAUCUCAAAGACUCUGCAGAGUUUGAACCCUGAUAAUCACCAGUGCCACAGCUUAGGAUGACAAAAAUAUUUUUACACAGAUUCACAGGGAGAG